rnacentral:rRNA from 2 species
AACGAACGCUGGCGGCAUGCCUAACACAUGCAAGUCGAACGAUGCCUUCGGGCAUAGUGGCGCACGGGUGCGUAACGCGUGGGAAUCUGCCCUUGGGUUCGGAAUAACUCAGAGAAAUUUGAGCUAAUACCGGAUGAUGACGUAAGUCCAAAGAUUUAUCGCCCAAGGAUGAGCCCGCGUAAGAUUAGCUAGUUGGUGGGGUAAAGGCCUACCAAGGCGACGAUCUUUAGCUGGUCUGAGAGGAUGAUCAGCCACACUGGGACUGAGACACGGCCCAGACUCCUACGGGAGGCAGCAGUGGGGAAUAUUGGACAAUGGGCGAAAGCCUGAUCCAGCAAUGCCGCGUGAGUGAUGAAGGCCUUAGGGUUGUAAAGCUCUUUUACCAGGGAUGAUAAUGACAGUACCUGGAGAAUAAGCUCCGGCUAACUCCGUG